rnacentral:lncRNA from 1 species
UGAAAUUUGAUUGAAUUGUGUGAAUGAUGAAGAUGUUGUUGUUAAACCUAUGAAAUUUUAUUGAAUUGUGUGAUGAUGAAGAUGUUGUUGUUAAACCUAUGAAAUUUAAUUGAAUUGUGUGAUGAUGAAAAUGUUGUUGUUAAACCCAUGAAAUUUGAAUGAAUUGUGUGAAUGAUGAAAACGUUGAUGUUAAACCUAUGAAAUUUGAUAGAAUUGUUUGAAUGAUGAAGAAAAUGUUGUUGUUAAACCCAUGAAAUUUGAUUGAAUCGUGUGAAUGAUGAAAACGUUGUGGUUAAACCCAUGAAAUUUGACUGAAUUGUGCGAAUGAUGAAGAAAAUGUUGUUGUUAUACCUAUGAAAUUUGAUGGAAUUGUGUGAAUGAUGAAAAUGUUGUUGUUAAACCCAUGAAAUUUAAUUGACUUUUGUGAAUGAUGAAAAUGUUGUUGUUAAACCCAUGAAAUUUAAUUGAAUUGUGUGAACGAUGAAAACGUUGUUGUUAAACCUAUGCAAUUUGAUUAAAUUGUGUGAAUGAUGAAAACGUUGUUGUUAAACUCAUGAAAUUUAAUUGAAUUGUGUGAAUGAUGAAGAAAAUGUUGUUGUUAAACCUAUGAAAUUUGGUUCAAUUGUGUGAAUGAUGAAAAUGUUGAUGUUAAACCCAUGAACUUUGAUUGAAUUGUGUAAAUGAUGAAAACGUUGUUGUUAAACCUAUGAAAUUUGGUUGAAUUGUGCGAACGAUGAAAACGUUGUUGUUAAACCUAUGCAAUUUGACUAAAUUGUGUGAAUGAUGAAAAUGUUGUUGUUAAACCCAUGAAAUUUAAUUGAAUAGUGUGAACGAUGAAAACGUUGAUGUUAAACCUAUGAAAUUUGGUUCAAUUGUGCGAAUGAUGAAAAUGUUGAUGUUAAACCCAUGAACUUUGAUUGAAUUGUGUGAUGAUGAAAACGUUGUUGUUAAACCUGUGAAAUUUGAUUGAAUUGUGUGAAUGAUGAAAAUGUAGUUGUUAAACCUAUGAAAUUUGGUUCAAUUGUGUGAACGAUGAAAACGUUGUUGUUAAACCCAUGAACUUUGAUUCAAUUGUGUGAAUGAUGAAAAUGUUGAUGUUAAACCCAUGAAAUUUGGUUGAAUUGUGCGAAUGAUGAAAACGUUUUGUUAAACCUGUGCAAUUUGGUUGAAUUGUGCGAAUGAUGAAGAUGUUGUUGUUAAACCUGUGCAAUUUGAUUAAAUUGUGUGAACGAUGAAAAUGUAGUUGUUAAACCCAUGAAAUUUGGUUCAAUUGUGUGAACGAUGAAAACGUUGAUGUUAAACCCAUGAACUUUGAUUCAAUUGUGUGAAUGAUGAAAAUGUUUUGUUAAACCCGUGAAAUUUGGUUGAAUUGUGCGAAUGAUGAAAACGUUGUUGUUAAACCUAUGAAAUUUGGUUGAAUUGUGCGAAUGAUGAAAAUGUUGUUGUUAAACCCAUGAAAUUUGGUUCAAUUGUGUGAAUGAUGAAAAUGUUGAUGUUAAACCCAUGAACUUUGGUUGAAUUGUGUGAAUGAUGAAAAUGUUGUUAAACCCAUGAAAUUUGGUUGAAUUGUGCGAAGGAUGAAGAUGUUUUGUUAAACCUGUGCAAUUUGAUUAAAUUGUGUGAUGAUGAAAAUGUAGUUGUUAAACCCAUGAAAUUUGAUUAAAUUGUGUGAAUGAUGAAAAUGUAGUUGUUUAGGGUUUAGGGUUUAGGGUUUAGGGUUUAGCGUUUAGGGUUUAGGGUUUUUUUAGGGUUUUUUAGGGUUUAGGGUUUAGGGUUUAGGGUUUUUUUAGGGUUUAGGGUUUAGGGUUUAGGGUUUAGGGUUUAGGGUUUAGGGUUUUUUUAGGGUUUAGGGUUUAGGGUUUAGGGUUUAGGGUUUAGGGUUUAGGGUUUUUUAGGGUUUAGGGUUUAGGGUUUAGGGUUUUUUUAGGGUUUAGGGUUUAGGGUUUAGGGUUUUUUUAGGGUUUAGGGUUCAGGGUUUAGGGUUUAGGGUUUAGGGUUUAGGGUUUAGGGUUCAGGGUUCAGGGUUCAGGGUUUAGGGUUUAGGGUUUAGGGUUUUUUUAGGGUUCAGGGUUCAGGGUUCAGGGUUCAGGGUUCAGGGUUCAGGGUUCAGGGUUCAGGGUUUAGGGUUUUUUUAGGGUUCAGGGUUCAGGGUUAGGGUUUAGGGUUUAGGGUUUAGNAUGUUGUUGUUAAACCUAUGGAAUUUGAUUGAAUUGUGUGAAUGAUGAAAACGUUGUUGUUAAACCCAUGAAAUUUGAUUGAAUUGUGUGAAUAAUGAAAAUGUUGAUGUUAAACCUAUGAAAUUUGUUUCAAUUGUGUGAAUGAUGAAAAUGUUGUGGUUAAACCCAUGAACUUUGAUUGAAUUGUGUGAAUGAUGAAAACGUUGAUGUUAAACCUAUGAAAUUUGGUUGAAUUGUGCGAAUAAUGAAAAUGUUGUUGUUAAACCUAUGAAAUUUGGUUCAAUUGUGUGAAUGAUGAAAAUGUUGUUGUUAAACCCAUGAACUUUGAUUGAAUUGUGUGAAUGCUGAAAACAUUGAUGUUAAACCCAUGAAAUUUGGUUGAAUUGUGCGAAUGUUGAAAACAUUGGUAAACCUAUGAAAUUUGAUUGAAUUGUGUGAAUGAUGAAGAUGUUUUGUUAAACCUGUGCAAUUUGAUUGAAUUGUGUGAUGAUGAAAAUGUAGUUGUUAAACCCAUGAAAUUUGAUUGAAUUGUGUGAAGGAUGAAAACGUUGAUGUUAAACCCAUGAAAUUUGAUUGAAUUAUGUGAAUGAUAAAAAUGUUGUUGUUAAACCUAUGAAAUUUGAUUGAAUUGUGUGAAUGAUGAAAAUGUUGUUGUUAAACCCAUGAAAUUUGAUUGAAUUGUGUGAAUGAUGAAAACGUUGAUGUUAAACCUAUGAAAUUCGAAUGAAUUGUGCGUGUGAUGAAGAAAAUGUUAUUGUCAAACCUAUGAAAUUUGAUUGAAUUGUGUGAAUGAUGAAAAUGUUGUUGUUAAACCCAUGAAAUUUGAUUGAAUUUUGUGAAUGAUGAAAAUGUUGUUGUUAAACCCAUGAAAUUUGAUUGAAUUGUGUGAAUAAUGAAAAUGUUGUUGUUAAAUCUAUGAAAUUUGAUUGAAUUGUGUGAAUGAUGAAAAUGUUGUUGUUAAACCCAUGAACUUUGAUUGAAUUGUGUGAAGG